GACGAACGCUGGCGGCAUGCCUAACACAUGCAAGUCGAACGAAACCUCCGGGUCUUGUUGCGCAUGGCGGUGGCAGGCGUGGGGAGCUUCCCUUAGGUACGGAAUACCUCUCUGACAGGGGUGCUAAUACAGGAUAAUGUCUUCGCACCAAAGAUUUAUCGCGGUUGGCUGGGCGCGCGUUGGAUUCGCUUGUUGGUAGGGUAAUAGCCUACCACGGCGUCGAUCCAUAGCUGGUCUGGGAGCAUGGUCAGCCACACUGGGACUAAGACACGGCCGAGACUCCUACGCAAGGGAGGAGAGCGUAAUAUAGGAAAAUGGGGUGAGGGCUGAACGAGCAAGGCCGGGUAAGUGAUGAAGGCGGUAGGGAAGUAAAGCUCUUUUACCCGAGAUGAUAAUGACGGUACCGGGAGAAUAAGCACCGGCUAACUACGUG
rnacentral:rRNA from 1 species